GUUGAACGCUGGCGGCAUGCUUUACACAUGCAAGUCGAGCGGCAGCGCGGGGGCAACCCUGGCGGCGAGCGGCGAACGGGUGAGGAAUACAUCGGAACGUACCCCGGAGUGGGGGAUAACGCCGCGAAAGCGGCGCUAAUACCGCAUAUGCUCUGAGGAGGAAAGUGGGGGAUUCGCAAGAACCUCACGCUCUGGGAGCGGCCGAUGUCCGAUUAGCUUGUUGGUGAGGUAAUGGCUCACCAAGGCGACGAUCGGUAGCUGGUCUGAGAGGAUGAUCAGCCACACUGGGACUGAGACACGGCCCCAGACUCCUACGGGAGGCAGCAGUGGGGAAUUUUUGGACAAUGGGGGCAACCCUGAUCCAGCCAUGCCGCGUGCGGGAAGAAGGGCCUUCGGGUUGUAAACCGCUUUUU
rnacentral:rRNA from 1 species